rnacentral:rRNA from 1 species
AUGAGUGGCGAACGGUGAGUAACACGUGAGUAACCUGCCCUCUUCUUUGGGAUAACGCCCGGAAACGGGUGCUAAUACUGGAUAUUCACUGAUCUUCGCAUGGGGGUUGGUGGAAAGGUUUUUUCUGGUGGGGGAUGGGCUCGCGGCCUAUCAGCUUGUUGGUGGGGUGAUGGCCUACCAAGGCUUUGACGGGUAGCCGGCCUGAGAGGGUGACCGGUCACAUUGGGACUGAGAUACGGCCCAG